UACGAAGGGGGCUAGCGUUGUUCGGAAUUACUGGGCGUAAAGCGCGUGUAGGCGGGCCGUUAAGUUGGGGGUGAAAGCCCAGAGCUCAACUCUGGAAUUGCCUUCGAUACUGGCGGCCUGGAGCAUGAUAGAGGCGAGUGGAAUUGCGAGUGUAGAGGUGAAAUUCGUAGAUAUUCGCAGGAACACAAGUGGCGAAGGCGACUCGCUGGAUCAUUGCUGACGCUGAGACGCGAAAGCGUGGGGAGCAAACAGG
rnacentral:rRNA from 1 species